rnacentral:rRNA from 1 species
UACGUAGGGCGCGAGCGUUGUCCGGAAUCAUUGGGCGUAAAGAGCUCGUAGGCGGCCUGUCGCGUCUGCUGUGAAAUCCCGGGGCUUAACCCCGGGCGUGCAGUGGAUACGGGCUGGCUGGAGGCAGGCAGGGGAGAACGGAAUUCCCGGUGUAGCGGUGAAAUGCGCAGAUAUCAGGAGGAACACCGGUGGCGAAGGCGGGUCUCUGGGCCGAUACUGACGCUGAGGAGCGAAAGCGUGGGGAGCGAACAGG